AACCAUAACCAGACUGUGGUUUUUAGUUUUCUUGGUCAAGUUAGAUAACAUGCAUCUUAGUCAAGCCGAGACAGCUAACGAUUUAGAAUGGGACACACAUAUUGAAGCAUAUGACUUGGUCGUUGAGCAGUUCCGAGACUUGAGGGACGAGUUUGUUUCUGUUUUAGUUGUUUCUUGCUGAAUAAGUCAUCCUAAUUAUUAGGAUCAGAGUAGCUAGACGUUGAGACUUUUACGCUAGUUUGUUAUCUUCAGUUUCUAUUUAAGCUUAUGUAAUUCCUCGUUUAUGCAAUAAGAAAACUAUUCAGUUCAUUUUCUUCUCUUAGUUUUGUGUUCUAAAUACAACAAGUGGUAUCAGAGCUCUUAUCUUAAUUGAGUAAACGAGCUGCUGUGAGAAACAAAAGAGAGAUCAAAAUGAGUGAGAAAGAUAGGUCACUGAGCAUUCCUAAGUUUGAUGGUGACUAUGAGCAUUGGGCUAUGCUCAUGGAGAAUUUGUUGAGAUCCAAGGAAUGGUGGGAACUCAUCGAGACAGGAGUGUCUCAACCGGAGAGAAACGCGAUCGUGACGGAGGCACAACAGACAGAAAUCGCAGAACAGAAGCUGAAGGACUUGAAGGUGAAGAACUAUCUCUUUGCAUCUAUUGACAAAUCGAUCUUGAAGACGAUCGCAAAGAAGGAUACUUCCAAAGAUAUCUCGGAGUCCAUGAAGGUGAAGUAUCAAGGCAACAAGAGGGUUCAAAGCGCUCAACUCCAGAGGCUACGAAGGAACUUUGAGGUGUUAGAGAUGAAAGAAGGAGAUACCAUCACAGAUUACUUCGCUAGAGUAAUGAUGGUAGCCAAUGAUAUGAGGAAUCUUGGAGAAGAGAUGCCGGAUGACAAGAUUGUAGAGAAGAUACUCAGGACACUUGUGGAAAAAUUCACAUACGUGGUGUGUGCGAUUGAGGAAUCCAAAGACAUCAAGGAGCUCACGGUGGACGAGCUACAGAGUUCCCUACUGGUACACGAGCAGAAUCUCAGUAAGCAUGAGAAUGGUGAUGAACGAACACUGAAAAUGGAGGGAAACAGAGGACGUGGUAGCUAUGGAAGAGGAAGAGGAGGAGGUUACAGAGGAGGAAGAGGUGGUAGAGGAGGCUCCAGCUUCGACAAAAGCAAUGUGGAGUGCUACAAAUGUCACAAGUUAGGGCACUUCAAAAACGAGUGUCCUCUAUGGGAGAGAGCAGCCAACUAUGCUGAGUUGGAAGAAGACGUACUGCUGAUGGCGAUGGUGGAUAAGAAGGAGGAGCUAGUGUGGUAUCUAGACUCAGGAUGCUCGAAUCAUAUGUGCGGAUCCAAAGGGUGGUUUGUCAGUCUGGAUGAGAGUUUCAGACAACAAGUGAAGCUUGGUGAUGAUAGAAGAAUGCAAGUAGAAGGAAGAGGAGACUUAAGAUUGGAGAUUGAUGGUAUUGUGCAAGUAAUCUCCUCGGUCUACUUUGUGCCAGGGUUGAGAAACAAUCUUCUAAGCGUGGGGCAGCUGCAACAGAAAGGCUUGAAGAUCGUCAUAGAAGACAACGAGUGCAGAGUUUGGCACAAACAUCAGAAACGGAUGAUCAUGCAUUCAAAAAUGUCUGUUAACCGUAUGUUUGUCAUCUUAGCUACGGUGAUGGAGCCCAAGGAGUGUCUGGAGACAAAUCAAGUGAGCAUUACGGAUGAGGCACCAGAGGAAACAUGGCAUAAGAGGUUUGGUCACCUUGGUCUCACCUCUCUAGCCAGUCUUGCGGAGAAAGACAUGGUAACGGGUCUUCCUGCUAUCGCCAAGACUGGAGCAGUCUGUGAAGUGUGCAUGAAGGGGAAACAGAAUCGAGCAAACAUACCAAAACACAGUGAGUGGAGAUCAAAGAAGAAACUGGAGCUGGUACACAGUGACAUCUGCGGGCCUAUCUCACCAACCUCAGAGAGUGGGAAGAGGUACAUCAUAAACUUUAUUGACGACUUUAGUAGAAAAUGUUGGACAUAUUUUCUCAGUGAGAAAUCAGAGGCGUUAAGAGUGUUUAAGGAGUUUAAGGUGGCGGCUGAAAGAGAAACAGGAGAGUGGUUAGUAUGUCUGAGAACCGAUAGGGGUGGAGAGUACAACUCAAAGGCCUUCCAAGACUUCUGCGUUGACAACGGUAUCAAGAGACAACUCACUGCGGCUUAUACACCUCAGCAAAAUGGCAUCGCAGAAAGGAAGAACAGAAGCAUUAUGAACAUGGUGAGGUGUAUGUUAUUUGGAAUGAAAGUUCCACUGAGGUUCUGGCCUGAGGCGACGCAGUAUGCAGUCCACAUUCUGAACCGAAGUCCAACGGCAAUACUGGGAGAUGUCACUCCAUCAGAGAAAUGGAGCAAGCACAAACCGUCAGUAGAACAUCUCCGAGUGUUUGGAUGUCUAGCCUACGCCAUGAUCCCAUAUGAGAAGAGAACCAAGCUAGAAGAGAAGAGCGUUAAGUGCGUAAUGUUUGGGGUUAGUAAGGAGUCAAAGGCGUACCGUCUCUAUGAUCCCACUACAAAGAAGAUCAUCAUCAGUAAAGACGUAAGGUUCGAUGAAGAAAAGAUGUGGAAUUGGGAAGAGAAACCGGAUGAGGAUGAAGUCUUGAAAGACAUCGCUGAGACAGAAGAAGCGACAGAAGCUGUGGAUACUGAGGCUGCGGGUAGAGAAGAACCACUAGAGACUCGCGGUGAAGAAGAAGAAGUUGCAGAAACCGAUCAAACUGGUGAACAAGCAGUUACAAACGAAGAGACAAGAGCAGUUGGGUCAAACAGAGCUGGUAGAAACAUACAAAGACCAACGUGGAUGAAAGAUUACGUCUGUGAAGGACUGAGUAUGAUCAUUGAAGAAGGCGAGGCAGAGCUUAUGGCUCUGUUCAUUGGAGAAGACGAUCCAGAGAAGUUUGAGGAAGCUAUAAAAGAAGAGAAAUGGAGGAAGGCGAUGGAGGCAGAGAUAAAGUCUAUCAACGAUAACAAUACUUGGGAGUUGGUAGACUUGCCAGAUGGUGCUAAGGUGAUUGGUGUGAAAUGGAUUUUCAAAACCAAGUUCAACGAGAAAGGAGACAUAGACAAGUUCAAGGCAAGGCUUGUAGCAAAGGGGUUUCAUCAAACUCACGGCGUCGAUUUUCAUGAGGUCUUCGCACCUGUUGCAAGAUGGGACACAAUAAGGUUGAUUCUUGGUUUGGCGGCUCAACAAGGGUGGAUAGUCCAACAGCUUGACGUAAAGAGCGCGUUUCUUCACGGAGAGCUAAAUGAGGACAUGUACGUUGAGCAACCUAAGGGCUUUGAGUGCAGAGAAGAAGAAGGAAAGGUUUACAAGUUAAACAAAGCCUUGUAUGGUCUGAGACAAGCUCCAAGAGUUUGGUAUAGCAGGAUUGAAGGUUACUUUGUCAAAGAAGGAUUCCAGAAAUGCUACUGCGAGCAUACCUUGUUUGUGAAGACUGAGAAGGAAGGUAUUCUUAUCAUUAGUCUUUAUGUUGAUGACUUGAUAUAUACAAGUAAUUCGGGUGAGCUCCUCAAGAGGUUUAAAGCCUCCAUGGAAAACGAAUUUGCCAUGACUGAUCUUGGACAGAUGAAAUACUUUCUCGGUGUGGAAGUUAUUCAAGAUGAUCAUGGCAUUUUCGUUAGCCAAAAGAAGUAUGCAGAGGACAUGUUGAAGAAGUUCGGUAUGGAGGAGUGCAAUGCGGUGAGAAACCCAAUGGUUCCUGGUAACAGACUAACCAAAGAUGGAGAUGGAACCAGCGUUGAUCCUACUUCGUUCAAGCAGCUGGUGGGAAGUCUCAGAUACUUAACCGCUACAAGGCCAGAUCUCAUCUACUCCGUCAACCUAGUGAGCAGAUAUAUGGAGAAACCUGGAGAAUCACAUCUGUCGGCAGCAAAAAGGAUCUUGAGGUAUGUUCAAGGAACUCGAGAGUAUGGUAUUCAGUACAAAAGAGGUGGGGAUGCGAGUCUAGUUGGCUAUGUGGAUAGCGACUAUGCAGGUGAUGAGGACGAUAGAAAGAGUACUUCAGGGUAUACCUUCAUGUGGAGUGGUGGAGCAGUCUCAUGGGCAUCAAAGAAGCAACCUAUUGUCACACUCUCCACUACGGAAGCAGAGUAUGUGUCGGCAGCUUAUGGGGCGUGUCAAGCUGUUUGGUUGAAGAAUGUUCUCAGCGAAAUUGGAUUGGAUCAAGAAGAAGGUAUAACUAUGUUCUGUGACAACAGCUCUGCAAUCAAGCUUUCAAGGAAUCCAGUGCUACAUGGGAAGAGCAAGCAUAUCAGCGUAAGGUAUCAUUUCUUGCGUGAACUUGUCAGUGAAGGUGUGAUCAAUUUGGACUAUUGUUCCACGUAAGAACAGAUAUCAGAUAUCAUGACAAAGCCGGUGAAGUUAGACGUGUUCGAGAAGUUAAGGAAGAUGUUAGGAGUUGGUCCGAAGGAAGAAGUAAACUGAAACAGAGUGUUUGCAGUUUAAGGGAGGGAUUGAAGCAUAUGACUUGGUCGUUGAGCAGUUCCGAGACUUGAGGGACAAGUUUGUUUUUGUUUUAGUUGUUUCUUGCUGAAUAAGUCAUCCUAAUUAUUAGGAUCAGAAUAGCUAGACGUUGAGACUUUUACGCUAGUUUAUUAUCUUCAGUUUCUAUUUAAGCUUAUGUAAUUCCUCGUUUAUGCAAUAAGAAAACUAUUCAGUUCAUCUUCUUCUCUUAGUUUUGUGUUCUAAAUACAACACAUAUUUCGUUUUUAAAUUGACAAACUUGUCACGAAGAAAAAUGGGUAAAUUUUAUUCAAAGAUCCAAACACCGCAACUUCCCUGACGAUUUCCCCAUAUCGAAAUCGUUAGUACAUAUUUUUAUUUUUCACAGCUUCAAAU
rnacentral:lncRNA from 1 species